UACGAAGGGGGCUAGCGUUGCUCGGAAUGACUGGGCGUAAAGGGCGCGUAGGCGGAUGGCACAGUCAGAUGUGAAAUUCCCGGGCUUAACCUGGGGGCUGCAUUUGAUACGUGUGAUCUAGAGUGAGGAAGAGGGUCGUGGAAUUCCCAGUGUAGAGGUGAAAUUCGUAGAUAUUGGGAAGAACACCGGUGGCGAAAGGCGGCGACCUGGUCCUUGACUGACGCUGGAGGCGACGAAAGCGUGGGGAGCAAACAGG
rnacentral:rRNA from 1 species